rnacentral:misc_RNA from 1 species
UUUCCGUAGGUGAACCUGCGGAAGGAUCAUUAAUAAAUGGUCUACGUUUUUUUAAGUAGACGCUUAAUAAUCCUACCCUUUGUGAAUUUGUUGUUUUGAAAUAAUUUUUUUUAAAAUUAUUGAUUGUCUUUCCCUGUUGAAUUGGUUGUCUUAAGGCAAAUGAUUCGCAGGGAGUGUCAGUAAUUUUUAAAAAGACCUUUUUAAAAUUAAACUUUUUGUAUUCAUUUGUCUAAAAUUAUUUUAUAAUAUAAAAACAACUUUUGACAAUGGAUCUCUUGGUUCUCGCAACGAUGAAGAACGCAGCAAAAUGCGAUAAGUAGUGUGAAUUGCAGAAUACGUGAAUCAUCGAAUCUUCGAACGCAUAUUGCACUUUUUUAGUUUACUAAAAAAGUAUGUCUGUUUGAGUAUCAGUAAAAUAUUCUCAUAAAAACUUUUUGUUUUUAUGGUUAUGAGUGUUUUACAACGAUACAAGUUGUUUCACUUUAAAUUUUUUUUAAAAUUUGAAUUUUUCUAAUUUUAAAAUAAAAUUGGAUAAAAUUUUCCCGUAAAAAAGGAAUAACCUAAACAAUUUAAUUUUUGAUUAGAAUUCUUCAAUUAUAAAGGAAAAUUUAACUAAAUAACUUGAUCUCAAAUCAGAUAAGAGUACCCGCUGAACUUAAGCAUAUCAAUAAGCGGAGGAAAAGAAACUAACAAGGAUUCCCUUAGUAACGGCGAGUGAAGCGGGAAGAGCUCAAAUUUGAAUCUUAAAGGUUUCCCUUACGAAUUGUAGUUUAAAGAAGUGUUUUCUGCUGAAUUUUGGUAAAAGUUCUUUGGAAUAGGACAUCAUAGAGGGUGAGAAUCCCGUAUUUGACCAUUAUCUUCAGCUGUGUGAUACACUUUCAAAGAGUCGGAUUGUUUGGGAAUGCAGUCCAAAAUGGGUGGUAAAUUUCAUCUAAAGCUAAAUAUUGGCGAGAGACCGAUAGCGAACAAGUACCGUGAGGGAAAGAUGAAAAGAACUUUGAAAAGAGAGUUAAACAGUACGUGAAAUUGUCAAAAGGGAAGCGUUUGACACCAGUGUUGUUUCUCUGAAAAUCAAUUACAAAAGUUGAUUUUAAGUUGUAUGACCUUAUCAGCUUACUGCUUAUUUUAGGCUUUUCUUUAAUGCACUUUUCAGUUUACAAGUCAACAUCAAUUUCUUUUGUUGUAAAAGGUAAUGGAAGGUGGCUCAGCUUCGGCUAAAGUGUUUAUAGUCCUUUGCAUCUGCAAUCGGAGAGACUGAGGUCUGCAGCGUAGAUCCUUCUGGUUAGAUACAUUUGUGCUAAGUUACAGCUUUUCAUAGACAACUUGUUGACUAUGUUUAGUCUUGUAACUUACCCGCUUAUGCUAUUUUACCUACGCUUAGGAUGUUGAG